CCUACGGGAGGCAGCAGUGGGGAAUAUUGCGCAAUGGGCGAAAGCCUGACGCAGCGACGCCGCGUGAGGGAUGAAGGUCUUCGGAUCGGAAACCUCUGUUAGCAGGGAAGAACGGUCACUGUGCUAAUCAGCAGUGAAUUGACGGUACCUGCAAAGGACGCACCGGCUAACUCCGUGCCAGCAGCCGCGGUAAUACGGAGGGUGCGAGCGUUAAUCGGAAUUACUGGGCGUAAAGCGCUCGUAGGCGGUAUGUCAAGUCAAGGGUGAAAUCCCCGCGCUCAACGUGGGAACUGCCUUUGAAACUGGCAAACUGGAGUGGGGGAGAGGAUAGUGGAAUUCCAGGUGUAGGAGUGAAAUGCGUAGAUAUCUGGAGGAACAUCAGUUGCGAAGGCGACUAUCUGGAACAUAACUGACGCUGAGGAGCGAAAGCGUGGGUAGCAAACAGGAUUAGAUACCCCUGUAGUC
rnacentral:rRNA from 1 species